CACUUGAAUGCAGAGGUAACAGGAAGGGGCUGGCUGUCCUCUGCCCACAUGUCUUUAAUUAGAAACAGAGGACGUCAGGACUUCUGACUCCACUGAGAAGCACAGUGAAACUUUAUUAGCCCAAUUAAAAAUCCCUGUCACCAAAGUCUGUGCAACUGAACUUCUGGAGGGCAGAUCUUGGGGUAAAUAUUUGUGCCGUGGCCCCUGGUGCUAAUGGCGCUCGAGGUCCCUGGGGAUCCCUGGAACAGCUGUGGGAAGAGGAGGGGGCGGUGGCCAGGCUCGGGCUGUGCCUUCCCCCAGGCUCGAAGGACAGUCCGAGUUUUUUUUUUAUACCAUCCUCCUGAGGAGGAAAUUACACCAUACAGUUUUCCCCAAGCCAGAUGCAAAAACUAAAACCUUGAAUCCAAACGUCCUCCCUCAAGUGAAAACAUUCUGAGACCUCAGAAAUGAUCACUCACCAAACACUGUUUCCCUGACUUGUAAUUUGGUCAGUUAUCGCUGGUUUUAGAAAGGUUCUGGGUGGUCCCUUGUCCUCAGGGAACUCUGUAGGUUUCAUGGUUUCGGUUUCCGGAGUUUUCUGCUUGCCUAGGAGUUCCAGGGAAACUGACCUUGCUGAGGAAGUCAGCUGCGGAAGGUAGCUCCACACCCAGGGAGGAAAAGCCUAAUUAGGAUUCCUCCCCUUCCUUAAACCCAGGAGUUGGCAGGAGCAGGCCUGGGUGGAGGUGGACACUUUCAAAUUUGAUCCCUCGCACACCUGCCUAAGAAGAUGCUCAACUUAAAAUUUCAAAACAUUUUAUAAUGAUCUGUACAUUUUUUAUAAGUGCCAUUAGAUCUCCUUCUGCCUCUUUCCGGUGUCAGAACUGCUAAGGUUCACCGUUCUCCCUCCCCGGGGACCCGGUCUGUGUUACUUGGGUGGUGUGAGCCUCUGGUUCCUGAAUACCUUAAUGCAUUCCUCUAAUUUGAAGUAUGCAAACUAGGUUUCCUGCUUCACAACCGUCCCAUGCAAUUUGGUUGAAGAGCGGAGCACAUUUCACAGCAAGAGGAUGGGGACCAUCCAAAGCGGAUGGAAAUUGCUCAAAUGAACAAUUUGCAUUUACUGUCCUCCUGGGGGAAGGUAAAUGCAGAAACAUCUGCUGUGGAAGGGUUGUUGUUUUUUUCUGAUUUCAUUAUUGUCCCAAGUUUAACAUCAAGAGUGGCUGGAAGGGAAUGAAGACAGUGUCUGCGCGUAUGUGAAGCUGAACAGAGAGAAGUUGUCCCUUACGGAUCACAGUGAUACUCACCCACAGAAAUGAUUCUUCUAAAUCCAAACCAUUUUUAUGGCAUUCUUCAGCCUCCCAGGUCAGUGGAUAUAACUGUUUCAAAGUUGUUCAGCUGUGACCUUGAUUCAUCUCAUUGUCU
rnacentral:lncRNA from 1 species